GAUUUGCAUUCCCCAGGCGGGAUGGAUGCUGCCCCGAGAUCACGUUGCAGACAGUGAAAGCACAGAGGCCUUCGAUCUGGGCCUCAGUCCUGUGUACGGAAUCAAUCUUUCUUUAAUUCUGCAGUCUCCUCGGGCAAUGUGACACAGGAUGGGGUUUGCAGCUUCAGUGCCUUUCUUCGCCUUUUAAAUUGCCACGAUUCACAGAUGGCUAUUUAGUGGCCCUACAAUGCUGCAACACAUUGGCUUGCAUUUUAGUCUUUAAUUAUUUGUUCCUUGGAUAACGGGCAGAGUUUUCUGUAUUUGUGUCAGCUGUUAGUGGUGACAUAGGCCGCUAGUUAACCUUUUCUUUAUGAAGUCUAAUUUAGUGUUCCCGUGGCUAGUUGCAAGCAUUUACAGUGAUCACCCAGUUUAAUCUUUUGUAUACUUUCUAGAAAUGCCAAGAGCCUUACUAACCUGGAGCAGAUUUAUGAUAUAGUGAUAAUUUAGGUAGAUGUUAGUCUUGAAGCUCUUAUUUUGUGUGCAACUGAUUAUAAAAACAUCUUACCCAAGUAUUAUUACACACAUGAUAUCUAUAACUAGGUCUUUGAUAACUGUUAUAUAAAGUGUGUAAAAU
rnacentral:lncRNA from 1 species